rnacentral:piRNA from 1 species
AUUAUCUGUAAUGUCAAAAAUGGUUCAC